UACGAAGGGUGCUAGCGUUGUUCGGAAUCAUUGGGCGUAAAGCGUGCGUAGGCGGUUUGGUAAGUCGACUGUGAAAGCCCAGAGCUUAACUUUGGAAUGGCAGUCGAAACUCUCAAACUCGAGUAUGGCGGGGGAUAGUGGAAUUCUUAGUGUAGGGGUGAAAUCCGUAGAUAUUAAGAGGAACACCAGUGGCGAAGGCGACUAUCUACACCAUUACUGACGCUGAGGCACGAAAGCGUGGGGAGCAAACAGGG
rnacentral:rRNA from 1 species